rnacentral:rRNA from 1 species
UACAGAGGGUGCGAGCGUUAAUCGGAAUUACUGGGCGUAAAGCGUGCGUAGGCGGUUACGUAAGUCUGCUGUGAAAGUCGGAGGCUCAACCUUCGAAAGCCGGUGGAUACUGCGUGACUAGAGUACGGAAGAGGAGAGUGGAAUUCCUGGUGUAGCGGUGAAAUGCGCAGAUAUCAGGAGGAACACCAACGGCGAAGGCAGCUCUCUGGGACGUUACUGACGCUGAGACGCGAAAGCGUGGGGAGCAAACAGG